rnacentral:rRNA from 1 species
AUGAACGCUGGCGGCGUGCCUAACACAUGCAAGUCGAACGGAGUCCAGCCUUUAAGACCUUCGGGUCACAGAGGGGAAGACUGAGUGGCGGACGGGUGAGUAACACGUGGGCAACCUGGCUCAUAGAGGGGGAUAACAGAGAGAAAUUUCUGCUAAUACCGCAUAAGCACACACUGCCGCAUGGCAGAGGGUGAAAAGAGAAUCGCUAUGAGAUGGACCCGCGUCUGAUUAGCCAGUUGGCAGGGUAAGAGCCUACCAAAGCGACGAUCAGUAGCCGAUCUGAGAGGAUGAACGGCCACAUUGGGACUGAGACACGGCCCAAACUCCUACGGGAGGCAGCAGUGGGGGAUAUUGCACAAUGGGGGGAACCCUGAUGCAGCGACGCCGCGUGAGUGAAGAAGUAUUUCGGUAUGUAAAGCUCUAUCAGCAGGGAAGAUAAUGACAGUACCUGAAUAAGAAGCCCCGGCUAACUACGUG